CAGUGAUUGUGUUAGUAUGCACAGAGCCUCUGCAAGCCCAAGUUGGACUAAAUUCCAGCAUGGCAAGGGGUCUGAGGCAUGAAGUUUACCCUUAGUGGAAAAGCUCCGUGCAAUAAUUAGCUGCUAAUGGUGCUGCUUUGUGUCAUCACAGAACCUUUGUGCCAUGUGCCCUAACUACCAAAAGUAGAUGGCAGGGAGGAUGCCUUGAGGGUUACACCUAGCUCUCAUUUUUUUCCCAUAUCAUGUGUUAUUUAAUUCACUCAAAUACAAGAAGUUGGGAACUCUGCCAUGCCUUCCUAGCUGCUGAAACUCUCCUGAGUGUGAAGUAAAACCUGAAGCCAAGAACUACUUGAAGUUUUUGGAAGGAAUAGAAGCUGAAAGUAACAACGACUAAAUUAGACAAA